CAUGGCUGUCGUCAGCUCGUGCCGUGAGGUGUUGGGUUAAGUCCCGCAACGAGCGUAACCCCUGUCUUCAGUUGCCAUCGGGUGAUGCCGGGCACUCUGAAGAGACUGCCCAGGAUAACGGGGAGGAAGGUGGGGAUGACGUCAAGUCAGCAUGGCCUUUAUGCCUGGGGCUACACACGUGCUACAAUGGCCGGUACAGAAGGUUGCAAUCCCGCAAGGGGGAGCCAAUCCGCAAAAACCGGCCUCAGUUCAGAUUGAGGUCUGCAACUCGACCUCAUGAAGGAGGAAUCGCUAGUAAUCGCGGAUCAGCACGCCGCGGUGAAUACGUUCCCGGGCCUUGUACACACCGCCCGUCACACCACGAAAGUCAGUUGUACCUGAAGUCGCUGGAGCCAACCCGCAAGGGAGGCAGGUGCCCACGGUAUGGUUGAUGAUUGGGGUGAAGUCGUAACAAGGUAGCCGUAGGGGAACCUGCGGCUGGAUCACCUCCUUU
rnacentral:rRNA from 1 species